rnacentral:rRNA from 1 species
UAACGCGUAGGUAACCUGCCUUGUAGCGGGGGAUAACUAUUGGAAACGAUAGCUAAUACCGCAUAACAAUGGGUGACUCAUGUCAUUUAUUUGAAAAGGGGCAAAUGCUCCACUACAAGAUGGACCUGCGUUGUAUUAGCUAGUAGGUGAGGUAACGGCUCACCUAGGCGACGAUACAUAGCCGACCUGAGAGGGUGAUCGGCCACACUGGGACUGAGACACGGCCCAG